AGCAGUCGCCGCGGUAAUACAGAGGGUGCGAGCGUUAAUCGGAUUUACUGGGCGUAAAGCGUGCGUAGGCGGCUUUUUAAGUCGGAUGUGAAAUCCCUGAGCUUAACUUAGGAAUUGCAUUCGAUACUGGGAAGCUAGAGUAUGGGAGAGGAUGGUAGAAUUCCAGGUGUAGCGGUGAAAUGCGUAGAGAUCUGGAGGAAUACCGAUGGCGAAGGCAGCCAUCUGGCCUAAUACUGACGCUGAGGUACGAAAGCAUGGGGAGCAAACAGGAUUAGAUACCCGUGUAGUCCCUGUCUCUUAUAA
rnacentral:rRNA from 1 species